UUGAUGAACAGAGAGGUGUGGUCAGGUGGUGUUGAUGAACAGAGAGGUGUGGUCAGGUGGUGUUGAUGAACAGAGAGGUGUGGUCAGGUGGUGUUGAUGAACAGAGAGGUGUGGUCAGGUGGUGUUGAUGAACAGAAGGGUGUGGUCAGGUGGUGUUGAUGAACAGAGAGGUGUGGUCAGGUGGUGUUGAUGAACAGAAGGGUGUGGUCAGGUGGUGUUGAUGAACAGAGAGGUGUGUCAGUUGGUUUAUGAACAGAGAGGUGUGGUAAGGUGUUAUGGAUGGACUGAGGGGUGUCAGUUGGUUUAUGAACACCGAUGGGUCUGCCAGAUGUUCUGGAUGAACGAAAUGGUGAAGUCAGGUGUUAUGGAUGAACAGAGGGGUGUGGUUAGUUGUUAUG